CUUGUUGCACACGCAGUGUUUACCUUCCAUGCUGUCACUGCUCUCUCAUUAUAAUAAUAAUUAUUGUUGUUGUUGUUGUUUUUGUUGUUAUUGUUUCCUGUUUAUUGUUGUUUCAUGCACACACAGCACAGACUCGCAGGUCGUGCACAACUUGUGGAUGGGGGAGCUGCUGUGGAAACGUCAGCGCGGGUUUGUGUGGAGCGGCUGCAGCGUGACAUUGCAGAGCCUGUCUGUGUCUGCCCGUUCACGCCACCUGACAGGAGUGAGAGGGCGGGAGGAGGACGCAUCACGGAUCCACAGGUAUUCGUUCGACUGCAAAUUCUGAAUGAAAAAGCGGAUUUUUUGCCUGAAAUUUGAGCGUUUUGCAUGAAAAGUCUCGCGCUCUUUGUCUCCACACGUCUUCGCUGUGACUGCAUGCGUGCUGUUUCAAACGUGACAUCACGUCAAGGAAUACACGGCAGCCCCUGUGAUAACCUUGAGCCCGCGCCGCGCAGGACACAACAGGUUCGUUACGCACGCAAACUCUCUCAGAAUCCCGCAUCUCUGCGGUGUUCCCGGAGCUCUGUGCCCCUCUCGCGUUCAGCAUGUGCGCGUGUUUGUUUCCCCCUCCGUGACGGAGCGUGCACACACACACGUCAGCUCGGGGAGGGCAAAGUCUGCUUAAAAUGCUGCGAGUGUGACGGCUGAAUCCAGAGCACAGCGCCGCGCGGACGGACAGGUGAGCGCGGGGGGCGCAGAAGGACACGCGGAGGCUCGGCGGAGGAUCAGAGAGCCCCGAGGAGCGCGCGGGGAUCAUGACGGUGGUGCCCGCGGAGAACCUGGACGAGACCGUAGCGCUGGCCGCGCUGUCGGCACAGGACGCGUGCGAGCCGGAGCGCGCGGACAGCCAGGACUGCUGCGAACGCGUGGUCAUCAACAUCUCCGGGCUGCGCUUCGAGACACAGCUGAAGACGCUCGCGCAGUUUCCCGCCACGCUACUGGGAGACCCGCGGAAGAGGAUGCGCUUCUUCGACCCGCUGAGGAACGAGUACUUCUUCGACCGGAACCGGCCCAGCUUCGACGCCAUCCUCUACUACUACCAGUCCGGGGGCCGGCUCCGGAGACCCGUCAACGUGCCGGUGGACAUCUUCAUGGAGGAGAUCAAGUUCUACGAGCUUGGAGAGGAGGUGAUCGAGAAUUUUAAGGAUGACGAGGGCUUCAUUAAGGAGGAGGAGCGCCCGCUGCCCGAGAACGAGUUUCAGCGGCAGGUCUGGCUCCUGUUCGAGUACCCAGAGAGCUCCGGACCCGCCAGGGGCAUCGCCAUCGUCUCGGUCCUGGUCAUUCUCAUCUCCAUCGUGAUCUUCUGCAUGGAGACGUUACCGGAGUUCCGCGAGGAGGCCAGGACGUUUGACGAGCACCUGGCAGCGAACGGAACAGUGCGCGCAAAGAAACCGAACCCUUUCACGGACCCGUUCUUCAUCGUAGAGACGCUUUGCAUCAUCUGGUUUUCAUUCGAGCUGCUGGUUAGAUUCCUCGCGUGCCCCAGCAAGGCCGCCUUCUUCAAGAACAUCAUGAACACCAUCGACAUCGUGGCCAUCAUGCCCUACUUCAUCACGCUGGGACUGGAGCUCGCGGAGCACCAAGGGAACGGCCAGCAGGCCAUGUCUCUGGCCAUCCUCAGGGUCAUCCGCCUGGUACGGGUUUUCCGCAUCUUCAAACUGUCCAGACACUCCAAAGGACUGCAGAUUCUCGGGAAGACGCUGCAGGCCAGCAUGCGAGAGCUUGGACUGCUUAUCUUCUUCCUCUUCAUCGGAGUCAUCCUCUUCUCCAGCGCUGUGUACUUCGCGGAGACCGACGACCCGCACUCGGGCUUCAGCAGCAUCCCGGACGCGUUCUGGUGGGCUGUGGUCUCCAUGACGACAGUGGGCUACGGGGACAUGUGCCCGGUCACCAUUGGGGGGAAGAUCGUGGGCUCUUUGUGCGCUAUCGCCGGCGUGCUGACCAUCGCGCUGCCGGUCCCCGUCAUCGUGUCCAACUUCAACUACUUCUACCACCGGGAGACGGAGCAUGAGGAGCAGUUCCAGUACACGCACGUGACCUGCGGACAGCAACAGCCGGCUUUCGGAGAAUUCAGGAAGAGCGACAGCAGGUCGAGCCUGUCCAAGUCCGAGUUUCUGGGCAGCGAGGACGCGGACUCCAUUAAAUACACCAACUGCAGCCCGCACAAAGCCCACAGCGGCAAACUCACCGACGUCUGAGCCGCAGCAUCACGCGCUCUGCUGUGACUGCACACCGGAGAGCUCCUUUUUUCUGCCAUCCAAGACUCACGGAGAGGACCCACGUUUACCCCCGAAACCGUCUUCCAUCACGCGCGCCACGAGCGGACAAACAGAAGCUUAGAAGUGAUGAAAGAGCCAGCGGCAGCACUUUAUCCAGACAUUUGAUUAUUAACGUUUAUGUAGUGGAGCUGGUGACACACACACACACACACACACACACACACACACACACACACACACACACACACACACACACACCUGUUAAAGCUCGGGGUGGAUCAGAUGAUGCUUGUUGGAAAAAGCCGUUAAUCUAAAUUUAAAGUCCCUCCCUGACACCAUGUUUGAUCAGAAUGUUUGUUAUUACUAAAACAAACAAACAACAACAAACAGAAACAAACAAUCAGGCUUCUGUGGGGAAAACUCCGAGCACGUGCUCCUUGUUAUUGCCACGCAGACUGUGUGAGCGUUAUGAAAUCAACCUCAGUUUCUCCAAUCCAACAGCACCGCUGUGUGGACGAGCCGAGGCCCUGCGUGUCUCUCUGUGGAUGCAGUUUCUAUAGCAACCUUCCAGACUUUUCUGUAUUGUCUGCCACAGGAAUGAAAACACGCGGGCUGAGACCGCAUAGGCCACAAAACCACCAUGUUGUGGAAAAGCCUCCAUGUUGUCUGAAUCCACCGCUGAACAUCACCUGCACCCCACACAAAGUCAUGGUUCACCUGCCAUCAACACACACACACACACACACACACACACACACAGUGAUUCCGUUAUUUUAGGCUUUAAAAUGCUCACAAACUCCCCCAGCUUCACAUGAAGACGUUAAACUCUGUAUUUUAGUUUAAAAAAAUCUAAGAAUCUGAGAAGAGCCUCAAAUCCUCGCCUUUAGCAGCUUAUUAGAAUAAUAUUAGUAAUAUUUUUGAUGUUUUAGAGCUCAACCAAUACUGAUAAAUAUAUAUAAUAUACAUAAAACUAUUUAAGAAAUAGUGACAGUAUAUCUGCUAACAAUAUUUUUGUGCUUUGGACAGCAGAAGAAAAAACACUUUACAUUUGAAGCAAACAUGAAAAUACAGAGUGCAAUUAUUGUGUGGAAGCACCGUGAGGCCAAAAUUCUUUUAGUUUCAAAUCUAAUUUUACAUUUCAGUUUUUCAUAAGUUGCUUGUAACAUAAAAAUCUUAAACUGUGAAACCAUCAGAAUUAUUUUAAAACAUGACAAAUGAAAUCCACACAGAAAGAAAACUAAAAUUUAAUCGAGUGAAAUUCUCAUAAAUAUAAAACUUAAAGUCAGAAAACAAACAAAAAUUUAAAAGUCAAAUAUUAGAGUUGAAGUUUUACUCACUUUUGUCACUUGAUCAACUGUUAUUACAUAUUGGCUGCAUAUGGCAGCGUGAAAAGGACAAAAUUAAUGUCAAAUUUCACAUCACAACUCAUUGUUCAGAUGAUAAGGUUGAAAUAUCUGGCAAACUCUCGGAUUUUAUGUGAUUUCUGUUCCCCACUCUAAAUAUAAAUUAAAAAAUAUUUUCAAACAGAAAAUUUUUUAAGCACUUUCAAAUUAAUAUCGAAGACUUGUUGAUUAAAAAACAUAUACAUACAUAUAUAUAAACAUAAGCAACUUAAUAUAUAUUAACAUAUAUAUUAAGUUGCUUAACUUCAACACAUAAAAUUAAAGCCAAAUGAAAACAAAAAAUUAACUUGCAUGAAUGUAAAACAGCAAUUAAUACAUUUUUAUUACAUUUUAGCACUUUAAUGGAAAUAAUGUGACCCCAGAAAAAACUGAAGCACAAAGAGUCACAAUUUCAUGGCUAUUUCUUAAAAUUUAUUAAAAAAUUAUCAAAACUUGUGUUUCCAGUAAGGAAACUAAAAUUAAAGGGGAAUUUAAACCACAUACACUGAGAAGCUUUUCAAAAUAAAGUAUUUAGAUGCAGCAAGAUUGUAACGCCAGCUUCACAUAUGCAAUUUAAAUUAUUUUGGCACCUUUUUUCUUCCAUACCCUGUGAUAACGGUAUUAGGCUGAUAGCCAAUAUGCUUACUGAGCAGACAUGUGUCACAGGUAAUUAUUAAAGUCCGUGUUGGAGCCUGUGGGGUCCCAGUCGGAGAUCAAGGACUCUCUGGAUGUAAAAACAGCUCACCUGUACUCACCUGGACUCCAGGAUGGACCAUAAAAUGGACCUGGAAACAAAAAAAGGAGUUUUUAAAUGACCUGAUGGAAUAAAACAAAAAAGAAAAAAAAAUAUCCCAGGAGAUGUUUUCACUGUGAACGUCUAAUGGAUUAUUAUCUGAGUGAAGGAUGGAUUCAUGGACGGAUGGACGAUCAGACUCCAAACAAAGUUACCAGGCCACCAUGACUGAGACUGUUGUUCCAACUGGAUAACAGCAGGGUUCCUGGGACAGUGGGAAGAACGAUGAGCCUCGUCCAGCUGACAGGGUCCGACAACUGCUGCCAUCACCGCUCUUCUCCAUCCUCUGAUGAAAGUGAAAUAAAACAAAUUGCAGAUGAGACGCCCUCCCAUCACAGGAGGACGACCUGAUUUUUUUUUUCAAAGAGCAAAGCUAAAGACUCUGAGGUACGAGGCAAAUGUUACUUGAAUCCUGCUUCAUAUAUUUGCUUCUUGUCCUCUGGCUGAUGGAGGCCUCCAUAUAAUCACGAGUAGAUGCUCUGUGGGGAGAUGCUCCUCCUGCUGUAGAGAAAAAGACCAUUUACGUCCUGUCUGUGCGUUGCAUAUCAUAUUCAAACCAAAACAUAUUAUUGCAUGCUUGGAAAGUAGAGCAUGUGAAGAGAAGAGAACGCGUCCGACUGAACCCAGCACUCUGACAAACGGGAACAACAACAUCAGCCGCUCAUUGAUAUUCUGAAAUGAUUCUGUUAUAAUGAUGAACUUAGUUGCUAAAUCUCUAUUUUUUAAAGUAUCAUACUGUAUAUGUUUUAUAUGGAGAGGAUUUGGUUCACUUGGUGAAUUAUUUUGUAGAUUUUUAACAUUUUUGCUAAUGUGUUUGGAUUUUCUUUAGUUCAUUUUUUUUUUUGCCUUGGUACAAACAAAGCAGCUCUAGCUCCAGGGGGCAGCUCCGGUGAAGACGUCUGCUCCCUUUGAGAGGAAUGUUUGUGCAGGAAACGAGGGUUCCAAAAAGAGACAGCUUAAUGCAUUUAUCACUGAAUGUUUCUGUGUGUGGGUUCCUGAUCAGAAUGCUGUAUAUCUGUUAUGCCGAGAACAUCUACCUCAGUGUCUGCUCAUUACCAACAGAAGCUUUAACACCCGUGUCCCUGCAUCAGUUCUCAUUAGGCAUCUAAUUACUUGGUGCAACUAAACCCAAACGCUCUCCAAACUGCCAUUUAAAAUCUUGGAGGGAAAAAAGCAACACAUUAAAUAGUGUGAAAUAUGGAAUAUCUGUAUGAAGCCGAUCCUGACCUUGGAUUUAAAUAUCAGAAUUAUGCAGUCUGUGUAAAACAGCUUAGAGCCUUGUUUUUGCACAUUUUGUUAAUUUAUUUGUGAAGUUGGAUGUGCUCGUGAGCGUAUGUGACUGCUUCUGGAUUCAUUGUGUAUUUAAAGGGCAAUAAAUGAACUGCAGGGUGGAACCAGUCUGGAACCAGAAAGGAGUCCAGUCCAGCAGGUUUUAUGGGUACAGACCUGAGGCUGCAGGGUUUAAACUGGACUCUAGUUUUCCUCAGAAUCAGAUGCGAACAUCAGCGUCUCAGUUUUGGGUAAAAACAGCAGAGAAAUGAAUCUCAGUUUCCAUCUGAAGCUGUUUUUAGUGGCUGUUGAGCUCAUGUGCUUCAGGGCAGCUGAUGUCUUCUUUGCUUAAUCAAAGGAAUUCUAAAGAAGCUGCUCAGCUGAAGGAAUGGGCCAUGUUCAGAUGUCACUGAGUGAGCUAAACUGUGACUUUCUUAACUGCCUAUAUGCAAAUUUUUGCGUAUUGUUGCAUGACGAUGAUUUAUUCUGCUCAUUUCCAGGUCUUUGUUUUUUAACAUAUGACUCCCCUGCAGCAGUGUUGCAUGAUCCACAGUUCAGAAUAAUCCUUCUGUGUCUCACACUGGGCCCCACAGUUCAUCCUGUCUGGAACAAGCUGAUUUAGCCCCUGUCUCUUUAAGACUUCCUCCCUAAUUGUUCACUUCUGAUUGGCCAAACUGAGGGGCAGCAUGUGUGCUCUUUAAAGUUUUUUUUUUUUCCCCAAAUCAUUAAAUUUAUUCAUGUUUAUGGUGGUCCAGAUGUCCAUGUUCUGUCUUGUAUCUGUGACUAGGUUCUCUUUAAAUCAUUCUGUUUGGAUGGUUUGCACCGCCGUCUCUUUCUGGUGUUACAAAUGCUUCAUGUGAAGCAAAAAUCCUCCACCCAGUGCUCAUCGCUGGAGAAGGAGCAGCUGCAAAGGCUGAAGUUUUUAAAGGGUGUGUCUACUCUGUGGGGUUGUCAGGUACAAGUUCUGACUCCACAGGUGUGUCACAGCUGAUCAUUUACAACUCAGCUUUUUGACUUUGGCUCAUUUCUCUCUGUUUUUCUGGCUCUGCGGAAGAUGUGAGGUCAUAAUAUUUCCUGACAUAUUGGACUUUUGCUGGUCAUGCAGCUGCGUCCACUCUGCAGUUUUGUCUCGUUGUAAUUCUGCUUUGCUUAACAUAAAAACAGCCGAGGGAGGUUUGUGUGUGACGGAGGCACUGAUGAGCAGGGACUGGGCAUUAGUUAUGAUGAUUAAUGUGUUCUGCAUACUCUGCGUGCAAUAAUAACAGAGUGAAUGCAGCCACGACUGAAGAGAAGUCAGUCUGGUCCAAGCGCCACAUGUUUAACCAUCAUUGAGAUUCACCACAUCGUCCGUUGUGUUCAUACUUCAUCUUCAGGUUUCAGUUCAGGCUCGUCACCGAAGCUUUUGUCAUGCAACAAGAAAAAAAAGCAAUAGUGAUUUCUCUGUUCUGGGAACUUCAGCGUGGAAGUGUUCUGAUUUCUGUUUCUCUGCUUUUGUUUCUUUCACAUAUCUCGAUGCCAUUUCUUUUUUUGACAAACUUUAAUUGUGAUCUAUUUUUGAUAAAAUAAAUCUUUAAUUCUGAUCGAUCUCCAUGUGUUUCCCAUGAAUGCACAUGCAGAUGUGUCACUUUCUGUUGAGUGUGAGUGUGUUUGUGUGCCAUCAACAUCAGCAGAGGUGUUGGGAUUGGAUUUAAGGUUUGUUCAGGUCAUUGUUUGAUUUACCUUCCUCAUGCUGUGGCUCCUCAUGGUCUCCUGAAGCAGCUGAUGAUGAAAGCAUUAGUGAAAGGAAAUAAAAAUUCUAGAAGGAAACUGAUUUGAAAAAACUGAAAACCUGAUAGAGUCUUUUCUUGUUCUUAUCUCCUACAGAAGUUCAGCGAAAUGCCACUCAGUGUUCCUGUUGUAAAGCAUGAUAACUAAAAUCUUAAGAUCAUUUUAUGGACUUUAUUUUUAAUUAAACGCACCAUCUCCUUCACAUGAACCUGCAACACCAAAUGCAUUAAAACAAGGAACCGGCGCUAAUUUAAAUAUUUUAGCAAACGUCGGAUUUGUUGAAUUGUCUUUCAGUCAGUUAAAAAGAUUAAAGUUGAUUUAAGUUUCAUCCAACCUGCAGUAUUUCUGUUAACGUAGCAUAGACAUAUAAGGUAGACGUGGGUAUUUGCUCAUACAUAUGCAGCAGUAUAGCCCCAGUAAAGAUGCCUCCUCCAGCUUUGUGUCAAGUAAAAUAACUCAUGUUCAGAUCUGUUCUGCUGAAGGUUGCAGGUCCACAGCAAAAACUAUCAUUAAAUAAUGAUCCGCUGGACCUUUUUCAUUGAUGUCGAGUCAAAUUGAAAGUUGCGGUGUUGCUGAAGGCGCACGUUUUUCCUGAACUUCCAGUUAGACAUCUUAGUAAGAGAAAUUCUGUGUUUUGUUUUACUGAUAAGAGCAAAUUGAAAGUAUCAAGAACAGCUGGCACGGCAGUGUUGUGGUUAAUUCAGCGACAAAGUCCGGUGUUCAGACCCACUGGCUGUGUGGAGAACUCUCUGGUUCCUCCAAAGACAUGCAUGGGUUAGAUAUGUGGAGUAACCAGAACCAUUUAACCAAAUUACUUAAUUUUGGAUUAAAGAAGACUUACGUGUUUUUUUUUUUUUAUUUGAUUGCAAUAAUCUGAUCCAUAUUUGUUGAUUUGUCUGAACCUGCAUCAUCUCGUCUGUCUGUGGUUCAGUUUUUGGUGUCCCACUCUGUCCAGUCUCACCCCGGAACAUGACGCUUGCUGGGUAUCUCACACUUCCUGCUGUCUCCACAGCAGAGGUCAGAGCUGCAGAGUUACGCCUCUGUCACAUAACAGUCACAUUAAUGGGAAAUUCAGCAAAUUGAAGUUGGUCUUUAGAGUGAGAGUGCACUUCUUACCCCUAACAUCCACCCCGGCUGGCUGGUUCAACCCAUUCUUUAUUCACUCAACAUAAACAGCUUCCUCCGAUCCAGCUGCACGGUUAUACUGCAUUCAGUUUAAUCUUUAAAAAUAAUUAAGGCAAAACUUUGCUUUGAGUUAAGAAAUCUUAUCACCUUCUUCACUCUUCCCAACAAUCGUUUUGUCAAAUCAGCUCCAAACAUGUCUUGCAAAUCGUUCGAGGACUCCAGUAAAAGCUGUAUCCUUUAAAAAUAGUUCAGAUCAUUGCUGCCAGCCUGAGCAAGUCAUGAUUUACAUGUAGGACCCUUUCUUAUCCAGAGCCCUCCACCCUCAUCAUAUCACCUCCUUUCACCUCAUUAAAAGUAUCCUGGAAGGAGACAUCAGUGCUGGAAGGGCAUGUGCCACUUCUGAAACCAAACCACAGCUUUUACCUUUAUUUUUUAAACACAGCUGUUAUAAAUCAUAAAGAAUAUGAACGUGCGACCAGUGCAGAGCUGGUGGAAACAUUAGAUGUUGCUGUUAAGAGCACCACAAGCAGGAAAACCAGCAUAAACAUGCAGUUAUUCAUUACUGAGCAAUAAUGCAUGAAAAGCACUACAUCAUCAGCGGGCUGUUCAUAUCUGUGCAUAAAAAUGUUCACAGUGCCUUAAAUCGUUUUUGUUAAAAACCCUGUCAAAUGCAUCUGAGGUACCACAGAAGAAGAAAGUGUGUGUUUAUUAGAGACGGUGGAGGAUGUUGAAAUAAUGUAAUGUACAGUAAUGUAUUGAAUGUACAGUAAGCAGUCUUCCUGGUUUAAAGUGAUGAAGAAGAGAGAAUAAUAUUGUGCAGAAGCUCAGAGAGCUUCUGCUGUUCAGUGCUCUCAUGUUUUAGCUGAUUUUUAUUAUUUUUGCACAUCUGUCUUAAAAACAUGUUUUAGAGUACACAGUGUAAUUUAGAGGAAAUAUAAAGUCUUAGUAAAGUAUUCUUUGCAUUAAAGGCAGGCUAAUGUGAGCGUAUUCUAACACUGUUACAGCCUCCCAGCUGCCUCUCCCUGAGCUUCUGCAGUGCUGCUUCUUGUUGUAUGAUACAGAUGUUUUCCUGUUCCCGUGAUAGUGAUGCCGUUCACAUGCGUGUUCAGUUUGCUGCAUUACUCUGUCAACAAUCCUGUGGUAUUACAAAGUAAUGCCUUCACUGGUAUCGCUGUCUGUCUCAGCCUGUUUGUUAAGUUAUGACCAAAGUUAUUCCAUCAUCUUAAAUGACUGUAGUUCCACUGUUAGCGCUAUCGUUAGCAUUAGAAUAAAACAAAUAUUGAAACAAAACAAAAUGAAAUGCGAACACACACAAAAAGUAAAUGUUAAUGAAGUGAGGCUGAAAAAAGCCUGGUUUCAUUCUUAGCUUUAGAUUACAGAAUCUCAGCACAUUUGAUUACACAGCACACAGCAGCCACAGCCUUUAAGAAUGACACACGGUUAUUCCACCUCAGUUCAUCAAACUUAACAAAAACCCUUAAAGAAAUACUCUUUUUAAGAAGCUUUGCUUUUCUACCAUCACUUUUGAACUUAGUGAUGUAGAAGCUGGUGGAGCUCACCAAUCCAAAUAUUUAAUAACUAAAAUAUUCUGUGAAUUAAAUCCCAUGAAGUUUAAUAGAAUGAAGUUUAUGUUCAUGUGUCCUGAAAUUCAGGAUGUUACUUUGAAAUAUUAUUUAUGAAUUCUGUUAUUAAUUCCAAUAAGAAGUGUUUCACUGGAAUCUGAGAUGGUCAGAUUUUGUAUUUUUAUUCUUUGUGUUUAAAUAGGAUAAGCUAAUGUGGAAUGACUGUGACACUUAAUCCAACUCACACUCACUAAGUUCUGCUGUUUAAGGCUGUGACAUCAUUAGUUACAUAUCAGUAAUAAAGAUCAGACAGUGUCAGCAGUGUGGAUUUAAUGCUUUUAUUUAUUUUUUAAUUUUUUUUUUCACAAGGCUGUGAGACUUAGAAAAAAGGAGAUCCCAGCUGUGCAGCACCUGCAGUGUGUCCGUGUGCUCGGUCGUGUUUUCGCUCACUGAGCUGUGUGUUUGUGUCGAGCUGUUUUCCUGCUUCUGUCCUGCUGAUACAACGG